GGGAGAGCGGAGGCUUCGUGGCCGUUUGUCUGCCGUCGAUCAUCGGACACAAAGUAUGGCUGCGGAUCGAGAGUUUGUUUUCUCUCCCUCUCCACCCCCUCCCUCCCCCCUCCCCGGCCGGGGAGGUGGUUAGGUGGUACCCAUGCUGACAGCGGCUAUCUGGAUUCUCGUGGCCAAUUCAGGAUAGGGGAACUGCAGCUCAACCUCCUCGAAGAGCACUGCCAGGACAAUUGAGGGCUCCUUUCGGCAGCCCUCUGCUGUGACAUGGACAUCCACUUUUUAUUUAAUUGAUUUUCAUGUUGUAUCAUUUGUGCCCUCUCUGCAUCCAUUUCAACCUGGUGAUCCUGAAAGGGGGAUCCUUCCAUCUGUGGUCCCUUCUCAAGGUUUCUCAUUUUCCCCCUGCUAGGGGUUUUUAAGUUUUUCCUUGCCCUUUUGGGAGCUUAAGAUCAGGGGAUGCUUUGAGAAUAAUUGUCAAUUUCUGUCUAUGUGAAGCCCUUUGAGACUGCUUGUGAUUUAGGGCUAUACAAAUAAACUUGACUUGACUUGA